rnacentral:rRNA from 1 species
GAUGGUUCGAUUAGUCUUUCGCCCCUAUCCCAGUUCAGGCGAUCGAUUUGCACGUCAGAGUCGCUACGGGCCUCCAUCAGGGUUUCCCCUGACUUCAUCCUGACCAGGCAUAGUUCACCAUCUUUCGGGUCCCAGCGUGUACGCUCUUGGUGCGCCGCAACUUGCAAUAAGUAUGCGACGCCCCGGGAAUGCGAGGUAACAUAAAUAACGUUACCCAUCUUCCCUUUAUAAAAUAUAAUUAUAAAAAUUAUAUAUAUAUAUUUACUUUCAUUACGCCUUUAGGUUUAUUAUAAAUACCCAAUGACGUGCGCACAUGCUAGAUG